rnacentral:rRNA from 1 species
GGUUAAGCGACUAAGCGUACACGGUGGAUGCCCUGGCAGUCAGAGGCGAUGAAGGACGUGCUAAUCUGCGAUAAGCGUCGGUAAGGUGAUAUGAACCGUUAUAACCGGCGAUUUCCGAAUGGGGAAACCCAGUGUGUUUCGACACACUAUCAUUAACUGAAUCCAUAGGUUAAUGAGGCGAACCGGGGGAACUGAAACAUCUAAGUACCCCGAGGAAAAGAAAUCAACCGAGAUUCCCCCAGUAGCGGCGAGCGAACGGGGAGCAGCCCAGAGCCUGAAUCAGUGUGUGUGUUAGUGGAAGCGUCUGGAAAGGCGCGCGAUACAGGGUGACAGCCCCGUACACAAAAAUGCACAUGCUGUGAGCUCGAUGAGUAGGGCGGGACACGUGGUAUCCUGUCUGAAUAUGGGGGGACCAUCCUCCAAGGCUAAAUACUCCUGACUGACCGAUAGUGAACCAGUACCGUGAGGGAAAGGCGAAAAGAACCCCGGCGAGGGGAGUGAAAAAGAACCUGAAACCGUGUACGUACAAGCAGUGGGAGCCUCUCUUUAUGGGGGGUGACUGCGUACCUUUUGUAUAAUGGGUCAGCGACUUAUAUUCUGUAGCAAGGUUAACCGAAUAGGGGAGCCGAAGGGAAACCGAGUCUUAACUGGGCGUUAAGUUGCAGGGUAUAGACCCGAAACCCGGUGAUCUAGCCAUGGGCAGGUUGAAGGUUGGGUAACACUAACUGGAGGACCGAACCGACUAAUGUUGAAAAAUUAGCGGAUGACUUGUGGCUGGGGGUGAAAGGCCAAUCAAACCGGGAGAUAGCUGGUUCUCCCCGAAAGCUAUUUAGGUAGCGCCUCGUGAAUUCAUCUCCGGGGGUAGAGCACUGUUUCGGCAAGGGGGUCAUCCCGACUUACCAACCCGAUGCAAACUGCGAAUACCGGAGAAUGUUAUCACGGGAGACACACGGCGGGUGCUAACGUCCGUCGUGAAGAGGGAAACAACCCAGACCGCCAGCUAAGGUCCCAAAGUCAUGGUUAAGUGGGAAACGAUGUGGGAAGGCCCAGACAGCCAGGAUGUUGGCUUAGAAGCAGCCAUCAUUUAAAGAAAGCGUAAUAGCUCACUGGUCGAGUCGGCCUGCGCGGAAGAUGUAACGGGGCUAAACCAUGCACCGAAGCUGCGGCAGCGACGCUUAUGCGUUGUUGGGUAGGGGAGCGUUCUGUAAGCCUGUGAAGGUGUGCUGUGAGGCAUGCUGGAGGUAUCAGAAGUGCGAAUGCUGACAUAAGUAACGAUAAAGCGGGUGAAAAGCCCGCUCGCCGGAAGACCAAGGGUUCCUGUCCAACGUUAAUCGGGGCAGGGUGAGUCGACCCCUAAGGCGAGGCCGAAAGGCGUAGUCGAUGGGAAACAGGUUAAUAUUCCUGUACUUGGUGUUACUGCGAAGGGGGGACGGAGAAGGCUAUGUUGGCCGGGCGACGGUUGUCCCGGUUUAAGCGUGUAGGCUGGUUUUCCAGGCAAAUCCGGAAAAUCAAGGCUGAGGCGUGAUGACGAGGCACUACGGUGCUGAAGCAACAAAUGCCCUGCUUCCAGGAAAAGCCUCUAAGCAUCAGGUAACAUCAAAUCGUACCCCAAACCGACACAGGUGGUCAGGUAGAGAAUACCAAGGCGCUUGAGAGAACUCGGGUGAAGGAACUAGGCAAAAUGGUGCCGUAACUUCGGGAGAAGGCACGCUGAUAUGUAGGUGAAGUCCCUCGCGGAUGGAGCUGAAAUCAGUCGAAGAUACCAGCUGGCUGCAACUGUUUAUUAAAAACACAGCACUGUGCAAACACGAAAGUGGACGUAUACGGUGUGACGCCUGCCCGGUGCCGGAAGGUUAAUUGAUGGGGUUAGCGCAAGCGAAGCUCUUGAUCGAAGCCCCGGUAAACGGCGGCCGUAACUAUAACGGUCCUAAGGUAGCGAAAUUCCUUGUCGGGUAAGUUCCGACCUGCACGAAUGGCGUAAUGAUGGCCAGGCUGUCUCCACCCGAGACUCAGUGAAAUUGAACUCGCUGUGAAGAUGCAGUGUACCCGCGGCAAGACGGAAAGACCCCGUGAACCUUUACUAUAGCUUGACACUGAACAUUGAGCCUUGAUGUGUAGGAUAGGUGGGAGGCUUUGAAGUGUGGACGCCAGUCUGCAUGGAGCCGACCUUGAAAUACCACCCUUUAAUGUUUGAUGUUCUAACGUGGACCCGUAAUCCGGGUUGCGGACAGUGUCUGGUGGGUAGUUUGACUGGGGCGGUCUCCUCCUAAAGAGUAACGGAGGAGCACGAAGGUUGGCUAAUCCUGGUCGGACAUCAGGAGGUUAGUGCAAUGGCAUAAGCCAGCUUGACUGCGAGCGUGACGGCGCGAGCAGGUGCGAAAGCAGGUCAUAGUGAUCCGGUGGUUCUGAAUGGAAGGGCCAUCGCUCAACGGAUAAAAGGUACUCCGGGGAUAACAGGCUGAUACCGCCCAAGAGUUCAUAUCGACGGCGGUGUUUGGCACCUCGAUGUCGGCUCAUCACAUCCUGGGGCUGAAGUAGGUCCCAAGGGUAUGGCUGUUCGCCAUUUAAAGUGGUACGCGAGCUGGGUUUAGAACGUCGUGAGACAGUUCGGUCCCUAUCUGCCGUGGGCGCUGGAGAACUGAGGGGGGCUGCUCCUAGUACGAGAGGACCGGAGUGGACGCAUCACUGGUGUUCGGGUUGUCAUGCCAAUGGCACUGCCCGGUAGCUAAAUGCGGAAGAGAUAAGUGCUGAAAGCAUCUAAGCACGAAACUUGCCCCGAGAUGAGUUCUCCCUGACUCCUUGAGAGUCCUGAAGGAACGUUGAAGACGACGACGUUGAUAGGCCGGGUGUGUAAGCGCAGCGAUGCGUUGAGCUAACCGGUACUAAUGAACCGUGAGGCUUAACCUU